GCGGCGAUAGCUCAGUGGGUAAAGCGCCAGGUGAGUAGAUGGCUAUUGCCUAUUAUCCGCGCGGGUUCGAAUCCCGCCUGUGGCA